rnacentral:rRNA from 1 species
CCUACGGGAGGCAGCAGUGAGGAAUAUUGGGCAAUGGACGCAAGUCUGAACCAGCCAUGCCGCGUGCAGGAUGACGGCCCUAUGAGUUGUAAACUGCUUUUGCACGAGGGUAAACCCCGUUACGUGUAUCGGGUUGAAUGUAUCGUACGAAUAAGGAUCGCCUAACUCCGUGCCAGCAGCCGCGGUAAUACGGAGGAUCCGAGCGUUAUACGGAUUUAUUGGGUUUAAAGGGUGCGUAGGCGGUUUGUUAAGUUAGAGGUGAAAUGUCGUGGCUCAACCCCGAAACUGCAUCUGAUAUUGUUGGACUAGAGAGUAGUAGCGGUAGGCGGAAUGUAUGGUGUAGCGGUGAAAUGCUUAGAGAUCAUACAGAACACCGGUUGCGAAGGCAGCUUACCAAACUAUAUCUGACGUUGAGGCACGAAAGCGUGGGUAGCAAACAGGAUUAGAUACCCUGGUAGUC